GUAGGGAAUCUUCCACAAUGGGCGCAAGCCUGAUGGAGCAACACCGCGUGAGUGAAGAAGGGUUUCGGCUCGUAAAACUCUGUUGUUAAAGAAGAACGUAUCUAAGAGUAACUGCUUAGGUAGUGACGGUAUUUAACCAGAAAGCCACGGCUAACUACGUGCCAGCAGCCGCGGUAAUACGUAGGUGGCAAGCGUUGUCCGGAUUUAUUGGGCGUAAAGCGAGCGCAGGCGGUUUCUUAGGUCUGAUGUGAAAGCCUUCGGCUUAACCGGAGAAGUGCAUCGGAAACCAGGAGACUUGAGUGCAGAAGAGGACAGUGGAACUCCAUGUGUAGCGGUGAAAUGCGUAGAUAUAUGGAAGAACACCAGUGGCGAAGGCGGCUGUCUGGUCUGUAACUGACGCUGAGGCUCGAAAGUAUGGGUAGCAAACAGGAUUAGAUACCCUUGUAGUCC
rnacentral:rRNA from 1 species